rnacentral:rRNA from 1 species
CGGGGCGUCAANGAGGGNGAGAAUCCCGNACGCGAUUGCCAGCCAACCCGAUGUGAGGCCCUUUCGACGAGUCGAGUUGUUUGGGAAUGCAGCUCAAAAUGGGUGGUAAAUUUCAUCUAAAGCUAAAUACCGGCCAGAGACCGAUAGCGCACAAGUAGAGUGAUCGAAAGAUGAAAAGCACUUUGGAAAGAGAGUUAAAAAGCAUGUGAAAUUGUUGAAGGGGAAGCGCUUGCAACCAGACUUGCCCGCGGGUGAUCAACCUCUUUCUUUCGAGAAUUGGUGUACUCAUCCACGAACAGGCCANCAUCGGUUUUGACCGUCGGAUGAAGGUUGAAGGAAUGUAGCUUCCUCCGGGGAGUGUUAUAGCCUUGAACGUAAUGCGACGAGUGGGGACCGAGGACCGCACCCUUAUGAGUUAGGAUGCUGGCAUAAUGGUUGCUAGCGACCCGUCUUGAAACACGGACCAAGGAGUCGACCAACCAUGCGAGUGUUUGGGCAUUAAACCCACACGCGUAAUGAAAGUGAACGGAGGUGGGAACCCCUUUGGGGUGCACCAUCGACCGAUCCUGAUGUCUUCGGAUGGAUUUGAGUAUGAGCNUUUUUGGUCGGACCCGAAAGGUACGUACCAUUUUUCCUAUGAAAAGCGACAAGAUAGCUAAUUUUUAUGCUACAGAUGGUGAACUAUGCCUGAGUAGGGUGAAGUCAGGGGAAACCCNGAUGGAGGCUCNCAGCGGUUCUGACNUGCAAUCGAUCGUCAAACUUGNGNAUAGGGGCGAAAGUAAGUGGAGAUAGCUCUAAUUAUCGCUGU